CCCGGCGGGCCGUGGGAGCUGCGCUCGCGGGCCCACGCUCGGGGGGCAUUUCACACGCGGUGGGAGCAGGGGCGACGCCGUACCCCUCGCCCCUCGCGGGCCUCGGCGUCAGAAUUUCCCCCUGGCGCCGGCGCUGCCUCAAAGACUUUCCCGAUGUCUUUAACUCAACAUGAUCAAUAUGGAAGGCUGCAAGUCUGCAGGUGAUGCGCCCAAAGGCCUUCACUGACAUUAUCAGCGCUGUUUCUCUACCCCGGGAAUGUGAGCCCCGCAGGGCAGAACAGUAUUGCUUCCCAUUUCUUGAAUGAAGUGCUGCAAGAAACUGACGAGUCUCCUAGGCUGUGCUUCCCCCAAUGCAUAAACACGUGUUGAAUGAAAGUGUUUGCUUGUUGAAUAAAAAAUGUGGUUGGAUGGGACGGAGUUGUUCUACCUGGAAAUAAGAGACUGGACUAGGAAGUGUCUCCAUUGCCAGUCUCAGAGCAAUGGUUUUCGAACAGCAGGACCUUACACAGUCAUUUCACGCCUCUGGACCUCAACCUCUACAUCUGUGAAAUGGAAAUUAUGUUAAUACCUGCCAAGACGCCAACAUAUAGUGUUUAAAACCAAUA